rnacentral:rRNA from 1 species
CCUACGGGGGGCAGCAGUGAGGAAUAUUGGUUAAUGGGCGUAAGCCUGAACCAGCCAAGUCGCGUGAGGGAUGAAGGUUCUAUGGAUCGUAAACCUCUUUUAUAAGGGAAUAAAGUGUGGGACGUGUCCUGUUUUGUAUGUACCUUAUGAAUAAGGAUCGGCUAACUCCGUGCCAGCGGCCGCGGUAAUACGGAGGAUCCGAGCGUUAUCCGGAUUUGUUGGGUUUAAAGGGUGCGUAGGCGGGCUUUUCAGUCAGCGGUGAAAGUCUGUGGCUCAACCAUAGAAUUGCCGUUGAAACUGGGAGGCUUGAGUAUGUUAGAGGCAGGCGGAAGGCGUGGUGUAGCGGUGAAAUGCUUAGAUAUCACGCAGAACCCCGAUUGCGAAGGCAGCCUGCCAGGCCAUGACUGACGCUGAUGCACGAAAGCGUGGGGAUCAAACAGGAUUAGAUACCCUAGUAGUC